UUACAGAGAUCAUAUCUGCAUUUGAAAAACAACAUAGACACAAUUCUAUACACGCUAUGAGAAAUUUUAAACUUGGACAUUUAAAAGACCAAAAGAACUUCAUGAUUGAGAGAAGAAAAAAAAGUUUACACAAAUUCACCUUUUGUGCAUUUUCACUGAGCUAAGUCUAUUUCAUAUCAUACUUAGGAACCUCCCUUAAGGAACAGGAAAAUCUGAGCUUCCAAGCAUCGGGUGUGUUAAUUUCCUGAUUAUACACAAAGCUCAGGACCCAGCCUCUUGAUCAAACAGUGAUGUUUACUCUCUUGGACUUUGAAAGUUGUAACCAGAAUCUCCCUUUCUCAAUAUAUUCAUCUGUGGCCAGAAGAACACGGAGAAAAUCAGCAUGAGUACUACAGAGAAAGUUAUCAGGUGCAGAGCAGCCAUACUCUGGAAGCCUGGUGGCCCAUUUUCCAUUGAGAAGGUAGAAGUGGCUCCACCAAAAGCAAAGGAAGUUCACAUAAAGUUCGCCUAAAGUUGCUAAAAGAAGCGUCCUUGGGAAUUACUCUCAGAAAGCAGCAGUUUAAAGUUGAUCAAAAGCUAAGUCCUCAUCAACAGAUGUAUGGAUAAAGAAGAUGUGGUAUAUAUAUACUCAUAUAGGUACUUUCCUGGUGGUGCAGUGGUUGAGAAUCCACCUGCCAAUGCAGGGGACAUGGGUUCGAGCCCUGGUCCGGGAAGAUCCCACAUGCCUCGGAGCAACUAAGCCCGUGAGCCACAACUACUGAGCCUGUGCACUAGAGCCCAUGAGCCACAACUACUGAAGCCCACGUACCUAGAGGCCGUGCUCCACAACAAGAGAAGCCACCGCAAUGAGAAGCCCCCGCACUGCAACAAAGAGUAGCUCCCGCUUGCCGCAACUAGAGAAAGCCUGCACACAGCAACGAAGACCCAAUGCAGCCAAAAAUAAAUAAAUUAAUUAAAAAUAUAUAUAUAUACACACACAUGUACAUACACACUCACAAUGAAAUAUUACUCAGUCAUAAAAAAGAAUGAAAUCUUGCCAUUUGUGACAACAUCGGUAGACCUAGAGGGUAUUAAGCUAAGUGAAGUAAGUCAUACAGAGAAAGACAAAUAUUGUAUGAUUUCACUUAUAUGUGGACUCUAAAAAGCAAAAACAGAUGAACAAACAUAACAAAACAGAAACAAAAUCAUAGAUACAGAGAACAGGUGAUUGCCCAGGGUGUGGGGGUGGGGAGUUGGGAAGAUGAGAGAAAUAAGUGAGGGAAAUUAAGGGAUACAAACUACUAGGGCUUAUAGCUCUAGCAAAUUCUCAGGUGAUGUCAAUAACUGCUGGUGGCAGGGAGGUCCACAUUUUGAGCAGCGAAGAUGUAAAACACAUCUGCUCUAGCAAUAAGGAUUCAGGUAAUGCAGAGCUGAUAACAAAUGGUUCGAUCAACAAACACAUAUUGGUCAUCUACCAUGCCCAAAUCCUAUAAAUUUAUCCUCUUUAUUCUGGAGAGAAAAAAAUCAAGGUUUAUAAUAGGGUGAACUUUAAUACACCUGUUCUUUUUGAAAAUUAAAAGUGCAAUGACUACAAUGUAGAAUUUGACUUCUUAUUUUCAAUUAAGGCCCCUUGUCUUUAGAAUAAUAUAAUUAUAUAUAACAUCCAGCCACAAACUCCAAAACUCUCUUUCAUAAAAUAAUAGUAUCAACAUGUUCGUUCAUUUUUUUUCCAUGAUAUUCUUUCUUUCUCUCUCCUUCUCUCUUCCUCCCUCCUAUCCUUUCCCCCUCU